GAUUUUCCUUAUUUAUACAGGCUUGAGAAAAUGAUUCGGCUUAGGGAUGGCCACACUCAAGGCAUGGUAUUCACUGGGACCAAGGACUUAACUAGGAUCGUGGCCAAAUGUUGGGCCGGCAUAUUAAUAAUCGAAGUUAACUUGCCGAUGGUUUCAACGACGGAACUGCAGAAUGCUAGUGGGAACUAAGGUGUUCGUGGUUUACUCAGGGCAACACUCAUGUGAGCUAGCCAAGACACACAUGGUCUAUUUUCUUUGUGGAUUUCAAAUAUCUCAUAUGUUCGUUCCAAAAUUGGUAUAUAUAUCAAUCCUGAACAAGAAUAUCUGUUAAGUAACUGUUGGGUGCCACGCUGCUAUCGAGCGUGUUCCUGUCUACAGAGCAGCAUAAAUUGUUAACCAAAAGAUUGUAUGUGACCUUUCGUCUGCCCCCGCGUCGCCCAGGGGCGAAUCGGGCGGCGCCGCCGCCCUUCCCUCUCGUUCCCCCGGCCCUCCCUCCCCUUGCCGUGCCGCCACUGGAGCUCGCCACCGGAAGCCCAUGUGGCCGCGAUGAAGGUGGCGGCGGGCUCAUCUUCCCAACCCUCUCUCCCCAACUCUCUAGAUCUAGAUCGAUUUCAUGGGCGGCGGCGGCUGGUGGCUGGUAGCUGGUAGCGGGGGCCUGGCAGCGUGCGGCCCGGCCCCCAGUGGCAGGAGUCCGGCGGCCGGCGGCCUUGCUCGGCCUCCCAUGGUGGGGGCUCGACGGCCAGCGGCCUGUGGCGUGGCGCUUGGCGAAUGUGCCGUGGCUCCCCGUGGCUGGUGGCGGGGGCCUAGCGGCAUGCGAUGCGGCUCGCAGUGGCAGGGUCCAGUGGCCGGCGGCCUGGCGUGGCAUCCUGUGGCGGGGGCUCAGCGGCUGAUAGCCCGUGGCCGGUGCCCGGCGGCCGGCGGCCUGGCGCGGCCCGUGCCUAUGUCGGCGGCGGUCCAUGCCUGUGACGGCGGUGGUGGCGGACCGUGGCUCCGACGGCAAGUGGCGGAUACGGCGAUAGCGAGUGCAGAACCGAUCUCUACUGUGCUGAGCUCCAGGUGGAGGGCGUCUUUCGCCUCCGGUGGCCGCUGCCGUGGAGGGCUUGCCUCCGAUUGCUGCCCUCCCGUCUGGGAGUUGCUGGGUGCCUAUGGGCAUGUUGAUGGUGCUGUCUAGGAUCGCCGGUCAUCGUGUAUUGCUUCUUGAUGUGUAGGUUCUCGGGCGAAAGUCGUGCUUGGCUGCCGGUGAUGACGGUGCUAUGUGUAUCGUUUUCCUUUUUGAAGGCAUUAUCGUGAGUACCUCGACCUAGAGGGACAGAUCCACGUGAAAACCAGAGAAUCAACACAAUGGUUCGGGCAGUGAUAGCAUCUUGAUGUUGCUCUCCUCUUGAGGCGUCGUCUUGGAGUCCUUGUUGGUGGCACCUUGGUCAGCUUGGAGCAAUGGCGGUGCCUAAUAUAUUGUGUAGUAGAGAUCGACUCAGUGCGGUUUAUACAUCAUGGGGUGGCCAGACAGCGCAAGACCAUCGACGUUCCUUACAUCAAGAGUUUCUAAGAAGAUAGUAGAUGUGAGACUUUUAUUACUGCAUGAGGACCAAAGCAAGGUUGAAGGAAGGACAUGGAAGAAGUUCGAAACUUAGUCUUUUAUGCUUUCUUUCUUAUUUCUUACUUUUUUUUCGAGACCGUGCCUAAUCAUGUAUUUCAUUAGGAGAAAGAGAGUUACAACGACGCAGCUUUAAGAGAA